UACGUAGGGCGCAAGCGUUGUCCGGAAUUAUUGGGCGUAAAGAGCUCGUAGGCGGUUUGUCGCGUCUGCUGUGAAAACCUAAGGCUCAACCUUGGGCUUGCAGUGGGUACGGGCAGACUAGAGUGCGGUAGGGGUGACUGGAAUUCCUGGUGUAGCGGUGGAAUGCGCAGAUAUCAGGAGGAACACCGGUGGCGAAGGCGGCAUCCUGGACCGGCAUUGACGCUGAGGAGCGAAAGCCAGGGGAGCAAACGGG
rnacentral:rRNA from 1 species